AUUGAACGCUGGCGGCAUGCUUUACACAUGCAAGUCGAACGGCAGCGCGGGGGCAACCCUGGCGGCGAGUGGCGAACGGGUGAGUAAUGCAUCGGAACGUAUCCUGUAAUGGGGGAUAACGUAGCGAAAGUUACGCUAAUACCGCAUACGCUCGAGAGAGGAAAGUGGGGGAUCGCAAGACCUCACGUUAUAGGAGCGGCCGAUGUCCGAUUAGCUAGUUGGUGGGGUAAAGGCCUACCAAGGCGACGAUCGGUAGCUGGUCUGAGAGGAUGAUCAGCCACACUGGGACUGAGACACGGCCCAGACUCCUACGGGAGGCAGCAGUGGGGAAUUUUGGACAAUGGGCGAAAGCCUGAUCCAGCCAUGCCGCGUGCGGGAAGAAGGCCCUCGGGUUGUAAAGCUCUUUUGUCCGGAAGAAAGCAAUCGGUUAAUACCCGGUUGUUCUGACGGUACCGGAAGAUAAGCACCGGCUAACUUCGUGCCAGCAGCCGCGG
rnacentral:rRNA from 1 species